UACAGAGGAUGCAAGCGUUAUCCGGAAUGAUUGGGCGUAAAGCGUCUGUAGGUGGCUUUUUAAGUCCGCCGUCAAAUCCCAGGGCUCAACUCUGGACAGGCGGUGGAAACUACCAAGCUGGAGUACGGUAGGGGCAGAGGGAAUUUCCGGUGGAGCGGUGAAAUGCUUAGAUAUUGGAAAGAACACCAACAGCGAAGGCACUUUACUGGGCCAGUACUGACACUCAGAGACGAAAGCUAGGGGAGCAAACGGG
rnacentral:rRNA from 1 species